rnacentral:rRNA from 1 species
AACGAACGCUGGCGGCAUGCCUAACACAUGCAAGUCGAACGAGACCUUCGGGUCUAGUGGCGCACGGGUGCGUAACGCGUGGGAACCUGCCCUUAGGUUCGGAAUAACUCCCCGAAAGGGGUGCUAAUACCGGAUAAUGUCUUCGGACCAAAGAUUUAUCGCCUUUGGAUGGGCCCGCGUUGGAUUAGCUAGUUGGUAGGGUAAAAGCCUACCAAGGCGACGAUCCAUAGCUGGUCUGAGAGGAUGAUCAGCCACACUGGGACUGAGACACGACCCAGACUCCUACGGGAGGCAGCAGUGGGGAAUAUUGGACAAUGGGCGAAAGCCUGAUCCAGCAAUGCCGCGUGAGUGAUGAAGGCCGUAGGGUUGUAAAGCUCUUUUACCCGGGAUGAUAAUGACAGUACCGGGAGAAUAAGCUCCGGCUAACUCCGUG